AACUCAAAGGAAUUGGCGGGGACCCGCACAAGCGGUGGAUGAUGUGGUUUAAUUCGAUGCAACGCGAAAAACCUUACCUACCCUUGACAUGUCUGGAAUCCUGAAGAGAUUUGGGAGUGCUCGAAAGAGAGCCAGAACACAGGUGCUGCAUGGCCGUCGUCAGCUCGUGUCGUGAGAUGUUGGGUUAAGUCCCGCAACGAGCGCAACCCUUGUCAUUAGUUGCUACGAAAGGGCACUCUAAUGAGACUGCCGGUGACAAACCGGAGGAAGGUGGGGAUGACGUCAGGUCAUCAUGGCCCUUAUGGGUAGGGCUACACACGUCAUACAAUGGCCGGGACAGAGGGCUGCCAACCCGCGAGGGGGAGCUAAUCCCAGAAACCCGGUCGUAGUCCGGAUCGUAGUCUGCAACUCGACUGCGUGAAGUCGGAAUCGCUAGUAAUCGCGGAUCAGCUUGCCGCGGUGAAUACGUUCCCGGGUCUUGUACACACCGCCCGUCACACCACGAAAGUUGCACACACCGCCCGUC
rnacentral:rRNA from 1 species